rnacentral:tRNA from 1 species
GCCGGGGUAGCUUAGUGGUAAAGCGGUGGUUUUGUAAACCAUUGACGGCAAUUCGAUUUUGCCCCCCGGCU